CGGACAUAAAGCCUGGGGUCGUAUUACGCGCCUAAUUUGUAAAACAAUUUUAGCCUUUUGGAGAAAGCUUGCUUUAUUCACCAGCAGUGAGUUGUGAGGUGGAUAAAGGUUCUUUGUUCAACGAAUAGCAGUGCAGAAUUGGAUACUAAAAGUACCCAAUGCUCAAAAAGGACCUAAAAGUGAACAUCCAAGCCAUUCUUGGAUGAAGUUUCUUAGCCACAAGGAGUAUAAUUUAUGUUCUGUCGUAUAAAUAGUGGUGGCUACCUAGAAGGGGCAUAAGUGGGACACGGUAGUGACG